GCUACGGGGAUGGUGGGGUGCGGGCUCGGGUCCCCGCCCGACCCGGCGCCCGCCGCCGGCCGAACCCCGACCCCCGCGUCUCCAUCGUGGGUCGCGAUGGUCGAAUGUGCGCCCGGGUCCGCGGGAUAGGCGGGCGCAGAGGUUCCUUGUGUCGGCGGGGUGGGUGCGGCGAGGUUCCGGCGCCUCCGCGUAGCAUCGUGGGGCCGGGGCUGGGGGCGCCGCGGAUUGCUAUGCUUUCCGCACCUUCCCGGCUCUGAAGCCUCGAGAACACGGCUAUAGGCAGCAGUAGUUUAAUGGGGAGUUUGCCUGCUGGGAACUAGGGGCCUGCUGGGGUCUCAGUUCUUGGCCGGCCCUGGAACACGAGGUUGCCAGGUGUGUGACGGCAGCAGGUAGGAGUGACCCGCUGGUGCAGUGAUGAGCAGGAAAGCACAGGAAGGACAGCGGCUGUUGGCCUGUGAACCUAGGCAAGAAUGACCAGCCGACACGGUCCAGACCGAGGUCCGUGGGCCCAGCUUGGUCCUCUGCGGCUGGUCAGUGGAACAGACCUGCAGGUGUGGCUCCUGUCACUCUAGGACUGGCUUCAGGACAGAUCCGGGCCGGAAGAGCCCAGGGCACCGCCCUCAGUUCUCCAGGAGAGUGCGCCAGAGUGGAGCCAGGAGGGGUGUGCGCGACUCAGCACGGGGGCCAUGCACGUCCAGUCUGCUGGCAUGGGCAGUGGGGAGCCGGGGGAAGUCAUGGCCUUGCGAAUGUCCUCUGAUGAAAAGGAACCUGCGGGCUUAAUAAAAUAACUUGCGUGGAACGUCGGUGUGCUGAAAAGCAGUUGUGUGUGCUUUUCCCCCUUGGUGUGGAUCAGUGGUGCUGAGGCAGCAGGCGCGAUACAGAACUGUGAGCAGAGACCUUCUGGAAUCCCCAGACUCCAGGGAAACUGAAGGUGACGGCCAGCCUAGUGAAGAGGACAGGGGGCGGGGGCGGCAGCCCAGCAGGCGCCCCUCGUCUUAGGGCCCUAAUCCUGGCUCCAGCCCGCUGGUCAGGGGAGCUGCACGGUCCCUUGGGUGAGCAGAGCCCCCAGUCCUGAGCCGUUCUUCGCUGUGUUGGGUCAUCUCCCGCCAUCCAAGGGGGGAAUCUAGAUGAGGGUUAAGAAGUAGUGCUUUAAGAAUGUGGAUCUCAUAGUUGGAGCACGUGUCUUCAGCACAAAGUGUUAAAGUGAACGGAAGGAUUCAACCCCUUUUCGAGGAGGGCAUCUCCAUGUGGGCAGAACUAGAGAAUAAAUGGGUCUUGAAUACA